GAAGAGUUUGAUCAUGGCUCAGAUUGAACGCUGGCGGCAGGCCUAACACAUGCAAGUCGAACGGUAACAGGAAGCAGCUUGCUGCUUUGCUGACGAGUGGCGGACGGGUGAGUAAUGUCUGGGAAACUGCCUGAUGGAGGGGGAUAACUACUGGAAACGGUGGCUAAUACCGCAUAACGUCGCAAGACCAAAGAGGGGGACCUUCGGGCCUCUUGCCAUCAGAUGUGCCCAGAUGGGAUUAGCUUGUUGGUGAGGUAACGGCUCACCAAGGCGACGAUCCCUAGCUGGUCUGAGAGGAUGACCAGCCACACUGGAACUGAGACACGGUCCAGACUCCUACGGGAGGCAGCAGUGGGGAAUAUUGCACAAUGGGCGCAAGCCUGAUGCAGCCAUGCCGCGUGUAUGAAGAAGGCCUUCGGGUUGUAAAGUACUUUCAGCGGGGAGGAAGGUGUUGUGGUUAAUAACCGCAGCAAUUGACGUUACCCGCAGAAGAAGCACCGGCUAACUCCGUGCCAGCAGCCGCGGUAAUACGGAGGGUGCAAGCGUUAAUCGGAAUUACUGGGCGUAAAGCGCACGCAGGCGGUCUGUCAAGUCGGAUGUGAAAUCCCCGGGCUCAACCUGGGAACUGCAUUCGAAACUGGCAGGCUUGAGUCUUGUAGAGGGGGGUAGAAUUCCAGGUGUAGCGGUGAAAUGCGUAGAGAUCUGGAGGAAUACCGGUGGCGAAGGCGGCCCCCUGGACAAAGACUGACGCUCAGGUGCGAAAGCGUGGGGAGCAAACAGGAUUAGAUACCCUGGUAGUCCACGCCGUAAACGAUGUCUACUUGGAGGUUGUGCCCUUGAGGCGUGGCUUCCGGAGCUAACGCGUUAAGUAGACCGCCUGGGGAGUACGGCCGCAAGGUUAAAACUCAAAUGAAUUGACGGGGGCCCGCACAAGCGGUGGAGCAUGUGGUUUAAUUCGAUGCAACGCGAAGAACCUUACCUGGUCUUGACAUCCACGGAAGAAUUCAGAGAUGGAUUUGUGCCUUCGGGAA
rnacentral:rRNA from 1 species